rnacentral:rRNA from 1 species
UACGUAGGGGGCUAGCGUUGUCCGGAAUCAUUGGGCGUAAAGCGCGUGUAGGCGGUCCGGUAAGUCCGCUGUGAAAGCCAGGGGGCUCAACCCUUGGAUGCCGGUGGAUACUGUCGGGCUUGAGUACGGAAGAGGCGAGUGGAAUUCCUGGUGUAGCGGUGAAAUGCGCAGAUAUCAGGAGGAACACCAAUUGCGAAGGCAGCUCGCUGGGACGUUACUGACGCUGAGACGCGAAAGCGUGGGGGAGCAAACAGG